rnacentral:rRNA from 1 species
CCUACGGGAGGCAGCAGUGAGGAAUAUUGGUCAAUGGACGCAAGUCUGAACCAGCCAAGUCGCGUGCAGGAUGACGGCUCUAUGAGUUGUAAACUGCUUUUGUAUGAGGGUAAACUCUGACACGUGUAGCGGGUUGAAAGUACCGUACGAAUAAGGAUCGGCUAACUCCGUGCCAGCAGCCGCGGUAAUACGGAGGAUCCGAGCGUUAUCCGGAUUUAUUGGGUUUAAAGGGUGCGUAGGUGGUUUGAUAAGUCAGUGGUGAAAUUUCGGGGCUCAACCCCAAAACUGCCGUUGAAACUGGUGGUCUAGAGAAUAGUUGCGGUAGGCGGAAUGUGUGGUGUAGCGGUGAAAUGCUUAGAGAUCAUGCAGAACACCGAUUGCGAAGGCAGCUUACCGAACUGUAACUGACGUUGAGGCACGAAAGCGUGGGUAGCAAACAGGAUUAGAUACCCGGGUAGUC